AACUUUCGGCAACGGAUCACUUGGCUCUCGCAUCUAUGAAGAACGCAGCGAAAUGCGAUAAGUAAUGUGAAUUGCCGAAUUCAGUGAAUCAGCGAAUCUUUGAACGCACCUUGCGCUCUUUGGUAUUCCGAAGAGCAUGCCUGUUUGAUUGUCAUGAAAAUAUCAACCUUGACUUGGGUUUUGUUCUCUAGUCUUGGCUUGUAAUUGGGUGCUUGCCGCUUUUACGAGCGGCUCACCUUAAAUGUAUUAGCUGGAUCUGUCUUUGAGACUUGGUUUGACUUGGCGUAAUAAGUAUUUCGCUAAGGACAUUCUUCGGAGUGGCCUCGUUUCUAGGACGCUUGUCCGCUUCCCAAUACAAGUUCCACCUCGUGGACAUGACUUUUUAUUAUCUGGCCUCAAAUCAGGUAGGACUACCCGCUGAACUUAAGCAUAUCAAUAAGCGGAGGCU
rnacentral:misc_RNA from 1 species